ACGUGACCGUAUGUCAACGGACCGUCGAUGCCGUCAAGGCCUCUUUCAUCCAUGGAGAAUAGUCAGAAUAGUGGUUUCAUCGGACCGCUCUGCCGAUCUCUCGGCGUGGAGGAAACGUAAACAAAGGUAUGUUUCAUUUUCGUUGUUGUUACUACUUGUGCUGAACAAUGGAGCGGGUGAAGCGUUCGCUAUCAGAGCUAGCCGAUCGCCAAAAAAGACGUAGAGUAGCCGAAAGUGUUCGCAAGGAACUUGAAAGUUGCGGUACGAGCAGUGAGGAGUCGGUGGACAGUGAGGAAGCAUACCCUCUUUCACCUGGACAACAGGCCGUGGCAGCACAUGCAAGUUUUUCCGGAGAGUUUGAAUACCAACGAGCUUCCGAGUGUGAAUCUGAGUCGAGUGAUACGAGUGGUGCACGAAAUAACCUAAUCUCAGAACACCUGUGUCAAAAUCCCCGCUGCGAAUUCCCCGCGUUACCUCCCCCUCUUCAAAAUCCCCGGCCUUCAAAACCCCCUUUCCUUUAUCCCCUUAUCAGUUCCCCCGGGCCCGUGGUCCUUAGAAAGCAUUUGGAAAAGCGCUUUUAUGGACACUUCAUAAAGCUGAGCUGUGUUAUGACCAUCCUAGCCAGCCCCAAUUAAAUUUUCUUUGACACGCUGUGAUCUUGCAGAAUCUCUCUUGAGAGAGUUUGUUUCUGGAGCUGGUACCUUGUAUGAGGGGGUUUAUGUCUACAACAUGCACUCCCUGAUCCACCUGACAAGACGUUCGAAGGUUCGGCCCUGUCAACACCUUCUCGGCCUUUCCCUUUGAGAACUUCCUUGGGAAGAUCAAGAAGUUGGUGAGGGGUCCUUCCUUGGCACUGCAGCAGGUUAUCAAGAGGCACUCAGAAGUGAAUCCCACCACCGUGUCAAGAUCUGUGCAACAGAAGUGUGCUCUGCUCAAGCAACAACCUGAGCCGCCAAGCUUCAAGAAAACCCAGUGCAGUGAGCUUGUUUUAGCUCACUGCACUGUGUUCAACUGUGUUCAACUGAAGUAUGGCAACAUUGCUGUUGUUAGGAACUUCAUUGAGUCAGAUGGGAACCGUAGCAUCUGCGGACAGUUUUUCCGAAAUCUCGGCAACCUUUAUACUUCAAAGUUGCCAUCAUCAGAGCUAGGGAUUUUUAGAGCUACAGGGCUCUCCAAGUAGUAUUCAGUGUGGAGUGUGCAGGACAUCAGGUGGAAGUGCGUCUGCUUGCAAUAUAACCAGGGCUAUGCAGUUUUUCUUCUACUUCACUUGCAAGUGGGAUCCAUGUUUGCAACCGUUGCACAUUGGUUGUGCUUAAUUCAAAAACUAUUUUUCGUGGCUUAUGAGUGGCCUUUGAGGUAAUACAGGCUUGAUUUGUUGAUUUCAGGAAAUGUACUCUGUUGUCCAUUUAUUUGUUGCUUUAUUUGUUGAUUUCAGGAAAUGUACUCUGUGGUCCAUUUUUUGGCGGAAAAUGAUGUUGCAGUUGUUCCUACCUGUUGGGUGUGCAAUGGCCGCACGGCAUGGCCACCCUACAGAUCAAAUCGGUUGAUGAUGGUAAUUGAGAGCGUGAAGAGCCCUUUACUGACUGGGCCACAUUCUCCUGUCAGGUGAUGGCAUCAUGUUGUAAGUAUAGCGGGUGUCUAGCAACCGGGAAUAGUCAGGAAUAUUUUAAUUACCGGGAAAAAUCAGAGAUAUUGUCAAAAAGCGAGCCCAGUCAAGGAAAACGAGCCAGAAAUGCCAUUGAGUGCCCUGAGCAAGGAGUUGAGAACCUUGGGGCAGAGAAAUAGGCUCUAAGCAGAGCCGCGCUCUGCUUAGAGCAGAGCGCGGGCUCUGCUCACCUAAUGUAGAGUGUGCUAGAGUACUGUACGAGCCAGAAUUUCUAGGCACGGCACGACCCGGCCCGGUAGAGGCAUGGCCCGGGCCCGGCCCGAGCCCGAUAGAAUAUUUCAUUUCCAGGCCCGGCCAGACUUGGCCUUGAAGAGACACGGCUCGGGCCCGGCCCGGACCCGGCAGAAUUUUAGACAGAAACUUGAGCCCGGCCCAAGCCCGACAAAAUAUUUGUUUUGUUUAAUAUAAGCCUGAGCUUGGCCCGAUCCUGACAGAUUGUAUACAUGAGCCCGAAAAAGUUGGCCUAAAACCUAAAAACUGUCUAAGCAUAAUGCGAGCAUAUUUGAUUUAAUGAACAAAAGGUUGGGGCGCAAACGAGCUUGUGGUGGUUAAACAUUUGACUGGUGUGCUCGGCUUUCUUGUUUCAGUGACAUAUGAAGAUGCAAAGUUCAAAGAAAAAAAAUCCGGAAGCGGCGUCCGACCUAUCAACGAAUAAUGAAGAGCGGGAGAGAAAAGAAAAAGGAAGAGACUGCUCCUUUUCCGUCAAGCUUGUCUCUUCUGCAGGAACGACCUAGCACUCAGCCAGCCCCUCAACUUCCAGAACGUGCACCAGUGCCCAAGCAAAAACGCACACGUGAGCAGCGUGCCUCUUCCCAGGAGUGACUGAGGGGCUGCCACAAGGGGAGAAGGCAAGCAUGUUUCUGAUUACAAGAAUGGACAGUUGGGCUGGGCUAGUUGGUAAGAAUUGAUGUUGAAAAACGGUGCAAAAACCAGACAAAGAGAAAAGAACACACAGCACCUUGUCCUGUGUGUUCUCUUAUCCGUGCAUUUUGCACUGUUUUUCAGCAUGUUUCUGCCUUGAUUUUUCUGUUAUAGUUUUAAAUGUCUGUAGUUGGUUACUUUGAUCCCUGUUGGAAGCAUGGAAUUGGUUAACCGUGUUAAAUGCAUGGAAUCGAAAAAAAAAAAUCAUGCUAUUUGAAUCAUUUAAAAGCUUUUUUGUCUAAUGAUUUCUUUCUCUUUUUUUUACAACCAUCCCAUGAGUGAGUGCCUGUUGUUUGAAUUUUUUAUGGCAAUUUUUAAUAUGCAUAUGUUACCUUUUAUUUCUAUUCAUGUAUACAUUUUAGCCCUAGCUAGUGGUUUCUUUUAUUUAAUUUAUGUACACAUUAGUAUGGUAUUUUUACAAGUUUUAAAAUCUAUGUUCUUUUUCUAGUCCUUUCUGGUUUAUUGCCUCCAUUAUUUAUUUAUAUGUCCUAGCCCAAGAUCGGGUGUAGUUUGAGAUAUAUUUAGAAUUUUAUUUCAAGCUGCUUGCUUUAUGUUGCUGGGAAUUUUAAUAUUUUGCGUUUUUAUUUCCAUGCAGAUCAGCCUUGUAAUUUAGUGUGUUCUUUACAAUUUUGUAGAUCUAAUAGCUUGUAAGAAACAGAAGAAUACACUGGUACUUGUAAUGUUUGUUUCGUUUUUGAAAUAAAUUUAUUCCAAUAAC